GGGCUAGCAAAAUCUGAGAAGAAGGAGAAGGUGGUGGAGGACAAGGACACUUAGUGAUAGGAGCUAAUGGAGAGGAAAGAGGCUGAAGCUAUAAAAGAAAGAGAAGUGGAAACAAUCCUGGAGACGGGUCAGUGGACCGGUUCAAGUGUUGAAGAUUCCACCACAACAGCCCAAUGGCAGGUGCUGCAGAGAACCAUGCUGGGAUCCUCUGAGAAACCUCUCCGCCGCAUCUGCCCAGACUGUUCACCCACCAAAUCAGCAAUUCAACAAGUGGAUAUUGCAGGAAGCAACUACAUACUAAGAAGGUUUGAUGCACAGAAC
ensembl:lncRNA